AUUCUUGCCAUUCUUGACGGUGCCCCAAAAGGGUGAAACGGGAACGCGGUGGAAUGCCGCGGCUGCCCCCGCAACUGUAAGCGCAGAGUCCACGCCUGACGCCACUGGCCCUUAGCAAGGUCGGGAAGGCGGCGCCCGGACGGCGACGCGCGAGCCAGGAGACCGGCCGUCAAACGUGUCGACGCA
rnacentral:ncRNA from 21 species